AGGACGAACGCUGGCGGCGUGCUUAACACAUGCAAGUCGAACGGAAAGGCCCUGCUUUUGUGGGGUGCUCGAGUGGCGAACGGGUGAGUAACACGUGAGUAACCUGCCCUUGACUUUGGGAUAACUUCAGGAAACUGGGGCUAAUACCGGAUAGGAGCUCCUGCUGCAUGGUGGGGGUUGGAAAGUUUCGGCGGUUGGGGAUGGACUCGCGGCUUAUCAGCUUGUUGGUGGGGUAGUGGCUUACCAAGGCUUUGACGGGUAGCCGGCCUGAGAGGUGACCGGCACAUUGGGACUGAGAUACGGCCCAGACUCCUACGGAGGCAGCAGUGGGAAUAUGCACAAUGGGCGGAAGCCUGAUGCAGCAACGCCGACGUGCGGGAUGACGGCCUUCGGGUGUAACCGC
rnacentral:rRNA from 1 species